UACGAACUGUGCAAACGUUAUUCGGAAUCACUGGGCUUAAAGGGUGCGUAGGCGGCUUGUCAAGUAGGGUGCGAAAGCCCCCGGCUUAACCGGGGAAUUGCGCCCUAAACUGACGAGCUGGAGUGGGACAGGGGUGUGUGGAACUUCCGGUGGAGCGGUGAAAUGUGUUGAUAUCGGAAGGAACGCCGGUGGCGAAAGCGACACACUGGGUCUCAACUGACGCUGAGGCACGAAAGCCAGGGGAGCGAACGGG
rnacentral:rRNA from 1 species